rnacentral:rRNA from 1 species
GACGGGGGAUGCAAGCGUUAUCCGGAAUGAUUGGGCGUAAAGGGUCCGCAGGUGGCCCGGUCAGUCCGCUGUCAAAGCCUGGGGCUCAACCCUGGAGAGGCGGCGGAGACCACCGGGCUUGAGUCCGGUAGGGGCAGAGGGAAUUCCCGGUGGAGCGGUGGAAUGCGCAGAUAUCAGGAGGAACACCGAUGGCGAAGGCAGAUCUCUGGGCCGUAACUGACGCUGAGGAGCGAAAGCAUGGGGAGCGAACAGG